UUUCCGUAGGUGAACCUGCGGAAGGAUCAUUAUUGUAUAACCGAGGUGCGAGGGCUGUCGCUGACCCGAAAGGACGUGCACGCCCGAGUGCCCGCACACACAUCCAUCUCACCCCCAUGUGCACCACCGCCUGGGUCCCCCUUUGGCUUGUGCGGAGGGGGGCUUACGUUUUCACACAAACUUUGUAUGCAGUGUAGAAUGUAUUUUUUGUUUUUGCGAUCACGCAAUCGAUACAACUUUCAACAACGGAUCUCUUGGCUCUC
rnacentral:misc_RNA from 1 species